CAUUAAUGAAAAGUUCUUUCAGAACCAAUCAUCACCCCUUUGUUUACUUACCAUGUUGCUUCCACUGGACAGGUUAAUCCGUCAAAAAGAUUAACCCUCCGGCACCGCUUAAAAACCGAUUGCUGGGGAGUGCCGGUGGAUAACCCAUACAAAAAAUUUAAAAAAAAUAAAUAUACUUAUCGUCUGAAAAAAUUUAUAAAAUAUUAUAAAACUUUCAACAACGGAUCUCUAGGCUCUUGCAUCGAUGAAGAACGCAGUGAAAUGCGAUACGUAAUGUGAAUUGCAGAAUCUCGUGAAUCAUUGAAUCUUUGAACGCACAUUGCGCCUUAUGGUAUUCCAUAAGGCAUGCCUGUCUGAGCGUCAGCUCCCCCCCACUCAAGCUCUUUUGCUUGGAUUAUUUUGGAAAAGCGGUUUUAAUCGAUUGCUUUCCACAAAUUCAUAGGCAGUAUGGUUUUUUUCCAAGCUGAACGUAAUAAUUAAAAAAAAUCACGUUUAAUUUAGAGAUAUCGUACUCGCCCUUAACCCACAAUUUUUUUUUAUGGGUGACCUCAGAUCAGGUAGGGAUACCCGCUGAACUUAAGCAUAU
rnacentral:misc_RNA from 1 species